UCCUCCUGAGUCAGGCAGAGGAGAAGAAGCAGGCAGAGAGAAAGCAGGGAAAGAAUCCAUUUGCAGAGAUGGGCUCGGAUUCCUCUGAGGCAAAGAGGACUCUGUUGGACACCAGAGAGAGGCCCCCAGGUGACAGAAGGAUGC